UGCAUUCACUACUGUAAGUCACUCUGGAUAAGAGCUUCUGCUAAAUGACUAAAA
rfam:Salmo salar isolate Sally breed double haploid chromosome ssa10, whole genome shotgun sequence.